GAUGAACGCUAGCGGCAGGCCUAACACAUGCAAGUCGAGGGGCAGCACAGAAACAGCAAUGUUUUGGUGGCGACCGGCGGACGGGUGCGUAACGCGUAUGCAACCUACCUUUAACAGGGGGAUAACGGAGAGAAAUUUCCACUAAUACCCCAUAACAUCGAUCAAGGCAUCUUGAUUGGUUGAAAACUCCGGUGGUUAAAGAUGGGCAUGCGUUGUAUUAGGUAGUUGGUGAGGUAAUGGCUCACUAAGCCUACGAUACAUAGGGGGACUGAGAGGUUAGCCCGCCACACUGGUACUGAGACACGGACCAGACUCCUACGGGAGGCAGCAGUGAGGACUAUUGGUCAAUGGGGGCAACCCUGAACCAGCCAUGCCGCGUGCAGGAAGACGGCUCUAUGAGUUGUAAACUGCUUUUAAACAGGGAUAAAGCACAGUAUGUAUACUGUGUUGAAGGUACUGUAAGAAUAAGGAUCGGCUAACUCCGUGCCAGCCGCCGCCGUAA
rnacentral:rRNA from 1 species